GGAAAUGAGGGCAAUCUGGCUGCGACAUCUGUCACCCCAUUGACCGCCAGGGUUGAUGUGGCUGAUCUGACUGGCUAGGCGGGUGUCCCCUUCCUCCCUCACCGAUCCAGCUACACGCUCGGUCAAAGAGAGGGGAGGACCAGUCUUCCAUCAAGGCCAUAGGAGUAGCUGCGCUCCCCUGCUGGGACCUCCAGACAAGCUCUCAAGGUCCAUCUGCAGGGAAAGUAGGGGAGUCAAGCCCCAAGUCUCCAGGCACAUCCAAAUGAGAGGCUGCACGUGGCAGUCUGGCUUUCUUG
rnacentral:snRNA from 1 species